CUUUGGUUUUGUAUUAAUUUUGUUGCUCGGUGUGGUCGGGGAUAUCCUCGAUUACCAGCGUGUGCAAUAGAUGUACACAAAUCCAAUGUGGCCAUCCCAAUUCUGUGUUACAGUCAUUGGAAUUGGACAGGAGCUAAAUCACAUAUUGAUAGUACGGGAACUAGAGAGCUUGGCUCUGACUGGUCUACUACAGCAAGGAAUGUGCCAGGGGCCAAUCUGAUGAACAUGUGGCAGAAGAUUUGGCAAUGGGUGAAGAAACACUGAGAUUGAAAUGCAACCACAGGUGGAGGCUUCACCCAAACUUUUCAGACGGAUGCGAGAUACAAAGUUACCCAAGUAUAAAUGGUUGAAGGUUUUGGAGAGCCAGAGAAGAAGGCAGGAAAUGUGAUGUCACUUUUACUUCAAUAAACAUGAACAGCAGCAGGAGCAACAACAGCAUCAGCAGCCGAAACCUCAACUGCAAUAAGAGAUGCAGCAACCGCACCGACAACAUCAAGAGCAACAGCAAAAAUACCUACAUGUAUUACAGCAGAAAUGCAACAAUCACAUUGGCAACAUCAACAGCAGCAGGAGCUCCAACAACCAUGCAGGGAACAUCGCGCGCAACAUAAAUAACUUCAUCAAGAGAUGCAACAAUCACAGUGGUAAACAUCAACAGCAGUAGCGACAACGACAGUAGAAACAAAGCCAAUGUCAAGGAUUAAGCAAUCAUACAGGAAACAACACAAGCGGCAACGUCAAUAAAUGCAUCAGGGGAUGCAACAGCCAUACUUGUAAACAGCAGCAGUAGCAGCGAUGACAAGAGCAACCACACAGGCAACACCUUGAGCAACAUCAGUAGCAAUGCACCAGCAAUGAAACAAUCACACCAACAACACCAAGAGCAGCAGCAAAAAGAAAAUAAAUUCCAGCAACCAUGAUGACAACAGCAGCGG
rnacentral:lncRNA from 1 species